ensembl:lncRNA
UAUUCAAGACCUCCUCUUACAUUUUCUUAUAAAACUUUUCGAGUAUUGCUUUUUAUAUUCAUCUUUACAUGGAAUUUAUUUGAGGGUAUGUGCUACUGAUGCCAUUUUAUUUCAUCCUGUAAAUAAGCAUUUGUCUCCUGAGUAGGAGGGGACACAGCUUUUCUUGUAAAAGGCCGGAGAGUAAAUAUCUCAGUUUUUGUGGACCCUGUCCCAACUACAUAAUUCUGUCAUCGUGGCGCCAAAACAGGUUUUUUAUUCUCUCUGACUCACUUUCUCCAGGUGAACAUUAGAGAUACUAAUAGCACCUACUUAAUAAGAAUAUUGUAAGGAUUAAAUAAUAGACUAAAUACACAGUAAGUAAACAAAUGGGUAUAGUUGUAGUCCCAUAAAAUUUUAUUUACAAAAAAUAGGCAGCAGAUUGAAUUUGGCCCAUGGGCUGUAGUUUACCAACCCCUGUUCGAGAUGAGUCUCCCAUUCAGUUAGAAAUGUUAUAGCAAGAGUUAGUAAACUGUAUGUCCCACGCGUAUGAGGUAUAGUACGUACAUUUAUAUAAAUAUAUGUGAUAUUUUGUUAUUAUAUAAACGUAUAAUACAUAUAUAAUAUAGCUUGAUUUAUUUAUGUUUCCUGCCAAUCCCAGAGAAAUUAUCUACUCUCAUUCUGUUUAUUUGUUUAUUUUUGGCCACACCCACAGCCUGUAGACGUUCUGGGGUCAGGGAAUUGAACCCGCCCCAGUGACAGUGCCUUAGCCUUAACCUGCUAUGCCAUCAGGGACCUGUCUCUCAUUCUCUUUAAAACUUUUGUUUCCUCCUGUACAUAUUACUCACACAGUCGACGCAUUUCUUUACUGAACCUUCAUAUACUCCAGUAGUACAGAUUUUACUGUAUAACUUUUUCCAUUUAUAGACAAAACCCAAAUUGGGUUGUUUGUUUUUUUUAAGUUUUUCGAGGUAACGUUUGGUAGUGUUUACCCUUUGUCCUAAAACUCUACCCUCUGACGUGUGGGUUAUAACCUGGUGUCUCCUGACACCAUAACCUCCCUGAUGUUACAUCUCCCGCCCUCCAGGACAAACAGUUCUUGUUCUCACACGAGUCUCUUGUGUGACCUUGUCUCCAGCUGAUUCUCACGUGCUCAGUCCGCUGUGGAGCGUCUGCCUUGUGAGCUGGUCACUUUGAGAGGCACCGAGGCACCGGCGUGAGCAAGCUCCUUACACACUGCCUGGAGGUGGCCUGACCCACCCAGGGUCCAGUGUUUACCUUGCUGUGGAUCGCUGACUGGAUGGUCCAUCAUUUCUGGAGGAAAGGAAAGGACCCGGAUAGCUUCUCCAUCCCCUACCUGACGGCAUUGGGUGAUCUGCUCGGGACUGCCUUGUUAGCCUUAAGUUUUCAUUUUCUUUGGCUUAUUGGAGAUCGAGAUGGAGAUGUUGGAGACUAAUGAAUCCUCGCAAGUUACUGAGAAGGAACACACAAGACAACCACUUAUGACUCUUUUUCAGAAAGUUUAAUCCAGUAGUUUGACUUCUGCCAGGGUGAUCUUCCGUUGGCCCUGAUUCCAUUAAAUGGCCUUAACAUUUUUUUAAAGGAAUUUGUGUUGAAACCAGAAUGAACAGUAUCUGUGCUGCUUUUCAUAGAAUAAAUGAUGAUUUGACACAGAUAUAGACACAAGCAAGCUCUGAAGUUAAUUAAAUAGAAAAGAAUAUUGGAUGUUUACAGUGAGUAAUUUUAAAACCACAGACAAGCAGAGAUGUACUGUAUUCCUGUGUAACUUAUAAAGCCACGUUAAAGGCAACAGAGUUCUGGUUUAGCCUUUCUGGACUAAAUGUGUUAUACUGCAAAGCAAACUGUAAAAUGGAAGAAGCCCAACCAAGCUUUUAGUAAUUGCAGCUAUGCCCUCUGCUCUGCCAGCUGAGGGUAGAUUUACCAAUUACUUGCUCCUAAUCUGACCUCAGUACGUUCUGCUGAGUAUGAGAUAAACUCCCUUUUACCUGCUUGUACGAAUUUCCCUAUGCCGAUCCUUAAUUUCAACUCUGCAGGUUCUUGGCAGGCUACUCUUUAAAUGUUGAAUGGCCUUUAGUAAAAGCAGUGGGUUAUUUUUGAUCAUUGAUUUGUUGAAAGAACGUUGAUCUUUUUCAGAAGACUUAAUAGUCAAAAACGAGGUAACCUGGAAUUCCUGCUGUGGCGCAGCAGGUUAAGGCUCUGGUACUGUCUCUGUGGCGCAGGUUUAAUCCUCAGCCUCAUGCAGUGGGUUAAGGAUCCAGCUGUGGCUUAGGAGAGCGCUCUGGCUCGGAUUCCAUCCCUGGCCUGAGAACUUCUGUAUGCCUUGGUUGUGGCCAAAAACAAAACAGAACAACAACCAUAAAAAAAGGAUGACCUGAGCUGCAUUUGUAGAAACAGGAUGGUGUGAGAAAUUGUGUGUAUGUGUCAAGGCAGGGAGUAUAUGUGAGAGAAAAGCAUCUGACAGAGAGCUGAACCUUGGAUUGUUAAUAGCAGAGAUCAUAGUGGAAUAUUAGCAUUCUGCAGUUAUUCUUUAAACACAUUUUAUUGAUAUACUUUUGUCAUUUGGUGCAACAAUUUUGCUACUGCCCCGAAUUUAGUAUUUGUUACCUACAUUAUGAUUCAUACUUUCUUCUUGUUAAAAAAAAAAAAAAGAGCAAAACUUGUACCAGAGUUCUCUGGUGGCUCAGUGGGCUAAGGAUCCGGUGUUGUCACUGCUGUGGCUCUGGUUACAGCUGCUGCCCCAGGUCCCAUCCCUAGCCUGGGAAUGUCUGCCUGCCGCAGGUGUGGCCAGAAAAGAAAAAAUGUGCUAUUUAAUAUAACCGAGAUAUUAUGAGAUUUUGAAUGAGCACAUGAUUCAUUUGCUCUUCUUAUGUAGUCUGUGGGAACUUUUGGGCUUACCAUUUUAAGAAAAGUUGGUGGAUGCCUUCACUUACUGCUCACGCCUGUACGUGUCAUCUGUUGGCGCAGGCUGAUUUCUACAUGGGACACUAUCAGGUACACGGCUGUGUUGCUCCAAUAUUUGCUAAAACUCUGAUCUCUAUUUCAGACCCUUGACCAACAACUUAGUUAUUCAAUAGGUAAGCAUUUUCAUAUCACAUAUAGUUCAUCUUUUUCAAAAUGCAGUGUCAUCUCUCAAGACUGUCAGAUGUUUAAUAACAAAACUGAUAAAGGGAAGAAGAAAGGCACAUUGACUUUGAUCCUUGUGGUUUAAGUUGUGAGUUCGUGUUAACAUUAUAUAAAUAGUAGGUUGUUUAUACAUAUGUGGGGGGAAGUGUUCCUAUUAAGCUCUUUAAAACAAGGAGACUUGUUGAGAGUUUUAUAUUUUUGCUUAUUUUAAAACUUUAAUUAUUCCAUUCUUCUGCCUUAUCAUGAAGCUACAAAGGCAGAGAACUGAACUAAUUAUAGAAUUUCUCCUUUGGAGAGUUAUAAUGUCACGUAGUGAACAUUCUUAUAAAAGAAUAAUUCAGUUGAUGACUAUUUAGCUGCAAAGAUUGUUUAUUUUUUAAAAAUCCAUGAAUAAUUUCUUUGAUUUAUUGCAAAGCAUUUAUAAAUUACUUAUUUACACUGGGGCUGUAUGAUUCAUAAGGAUUUAUAUUUCCCAGUGAUUUCUGUUUUGAGUUUUUUAACAUAAAAAGGUGCGCCACAAACCACACUUUUAAAGCAUUUGCCAACAACUCUAGUGCAUUACAUAUUCCAAAGCACAUUCAAAUACGUUGUUAUUUAGUCCUCGUGACUAACGUACGUGUGAAAUAGGUUAGGUAGACAGUCCAAUCUCUAUUUUACAGCAGAAGAAACCAUAAAGCAGGGAAGUUACAUUUUUAAUGUUGCACAGCUACAAGUACCCAAAUUGUGACUAAAGCUGAGGUCUCCAAUCUCUUAAGUUGGAAGAGACCUAACUCAUUAACUGAGAGGAAGUCAAUCGGAGAAAAAGGAUUUUCUAAAGUAGAACAAAUAUUGCUACAGCUUUAUGAUUUCAUACAGGGAAAUCUUCAUUUACUAUAUCUUGAUGGUAAGUCUAGCCAACUCUGAAUUAUUCAUGUUCCUAAAACCAAGGAGAACAAAGAUAAAUGAAAACUUUAGAAGAAAGAACAAUGCCUUACUUCAUAGACUCUUUACUUGCCAGCACCCUUCCAGAUCUAGCCGGUUUCCAUAGAUUCUAAUAGAUAACUAGAAUGACUGAUUUGAGUUUUGUCCUCUUUCUCUUUUGCUACCCUACCUUGGUUACAGCAUCAAAAUAUCUAAAAGAUGU